rnacentral:rRNA from 1 species
UACGUAGGCAGCGAGCGUUGUUCGGAGUUACUGGGCGUAAAGAGCGUGUAGGCGGUCCGGUAAGUCCGUUGUGAAAGUCAGGGGCUCAACCCUUGAAUGCCGGCGGAUACUGUCGGGCUAGAGUCCGGAAGAGGCGAGUGGAAUUCCCGGUGUAGCGGUGAAAUGCGUAGAGAUCGGGAGGAACACCCGUGGCGAAGGCGGCCAUCUGGACCAGCACUGACGCUGAGGCACGAAAGCGUGGGGAGCAAACAGG